rnacentral:misc_RNA from 1 species
GAUGAAGAACGUAGCGAAAUGCGAUAAGUAGUGUGAAUUGCAGAAUUCAGUGAAUCAUCGAAUCUUUGAACGCACAUUGCGCCCUCUGGUAUUCCUUAGGGCAUGCCUGUUCGAGCGUCAUUUAAACCUUCAAGCUAAGCUUGGUGUUGGGUGACUGUCCGCUUCACGGCGGACUCGCCUCAAAAUUAUUGGCGGCCGGUACAUUGGCUUCGAGCGCAGCAGAAACGCGAACUCGGGCCCGUCGUAUUGGCUCCCAGAAGCUAUCUUCACAAUUUUGACCGCGGAUCAGGUAGGGAUACCCGCUGAACUUAAGCAUAUCAUAAGCGGAGGA